AGAGUUUGAUCCUGGCUCAGAACGAACACUGGCGGCGUGGAUUAGGCAUGCAAGUCGAACGAGAAAGUUUCCUUCGGGAAGCGAGUACAGUGGCGAACGGGUGAGUAACGGGUGGAAAACCUGCCCUUCAAUGGGGGAUAACAGUCCUAACGGGCUGCUAAUACCGCAUACGAUGUUUUUACCGCAUGGUAGAAAUAUGAAAGAUGGCCUCUCUUUGAAGCUGUCGUUGAAGGAUGGUUCCGCCUCCAAUUAGCUAGUUGGUGGGGUAAUGGCCUACCAAGGCGACGAUUGGUAGCCGGCCUGAGAGGGUGUCCGGCCACACUGGGACUGAGAUACGGCCCAGACUCCUACGGGAGGCAGCAGUCGAGAAGCUUCCGCAAUGGGCGAAAGCCUGACGGAGCGACGCCGCGUGAACGAAGAAGGUCCUAUGGAUUGUAAAGUUCUGUCAGAUUGGGAAGAAAGCUGUGCGGUUAAUACCCGUAUGGUUUGACGGUACCAUCAGAGGAAGCACCGGCUAACUCCGUGCCAGCAGCCGCGGUAAUACGGAGGGUGCAAGCGUUGUUCGGAUUCACUGGGUAUAAAGGGUGCGCAGGCGGCCUGGUAAGUCAGGGGUGAAAUAUGACGGCUUAACCGUCAAACUGCCCCUGAAACUGUCAGGCUUGAGUCCGGAAGAGGUAGGUGGAAUUCCUGGUGUAGCGGUGAAAUGCGUAAAUAUCAGGAGGAACACCGGUGGCGAAGGCGGCCUACUGGUCCGGAACUGACGCUCAGGCACGAAAGCAUGGGGAGCGAACGGGAUUAGAUACCCCGGUAGUCCAUGCCGUAAACGAUGGGUACUAGGUGUUGGAGGAUUCUACCCCUUCAGUGCCGCAGCUAACGCAUUAAGUACCCCACCUGGGGAGUACGAUCGCAAGGUUGAAACUCAAAGGAAUUGACGGGGGCCCGCACAAGCGGUGGAGCAUGUGGUUUAAUUCGAUGCAACGCGAAGAACCCCCUUCUUCGGACUCUUGUACAGGUGCUGCAUGGCUGUCGUCAGCUCGUGUCGUGAAAUGUUAGGUUAAGUCCUGCAACGAGCGCAACCCCUAUCUUUAGUUGCCAUCAGGUUAUGCUGGGGACUCUAGAGAGACUGCCGGUGACAAACCGGAGGAAGGUGGGGACGACGUCAAGUCAUCAUGGCCCUUACGCCUAGGGCUACACACGUGCUACAAUGGUCGGUACAAUGGGCUGCAAUACUGUGAAGUGGAGCGAAUCCCAAAAAGCCGGCCUCAGUUCGGAUCGUAGUCUGCAACUCGACUACGUGAAGUUGGAAUCGCUAGUAAUCGCGUAUCAGAACGACGCGGUGAAUACGUUCCCGGGCCUUGUACACACCGCCCGUCAAGUCAACCGAGUUGGUUGCACCCCAAGUCGCUGAGCUAACCCGCAAGGGAGGCAGGUGCCCAAGGUGUGAUUAGCGAGGGGGACUAAGUCGUAACAAGGUAGCCGUAUCGGAAGGUGCGGCUG
rnacentral:rRNA from 1 species